GAUGAACGCUAGCGGCAGGCCUAACACAUGCAAGUCGAACGGCAGCACAGUAAGAGCUUGCUCUUAUGGGUGGCGAGUGGCGGACGGGUGAGGAAUACAUCGGAAUCUACUUUUUCGUGGGGGAUAACGUAGGGAAACUUACGCUAAUACCGCAUACGACCUCGGUGAAGACAGGGACCGUCGGCCGUUCGUCGCGAUGA
rnacentral:rRNA from 1 species